AUGGCUCUUAUAGUCUUACAUUAAAUCUGCCCAUAAUUUGGGGAUUAGAGAUCGUGGCUUGCCAGCUUGAAAAUCCAGUCGUUCUUGUAGUUAAUUAUUUACUAGUAUUGACACAGAAACAUGUGUAUACACAACCUGAUUUCUUUAUUUUUCAGCAGCUAUUUCUUUUAUUCUUCAAACAGAGAAAUGCUUUCUUAGAACUAUUGCAUAAAGAACAUUUUAUAAGUCUGAAAUCACAUUGUGAUAUUUCAAUAUAAUAUUGUACUACUUUACAGAAUGUCAAAUCUUAAUGGUAAGGUGAUUUUGAAAACCUCAGUAAUAAUGACUGUUGUUACUGAGUGGACACCUGGGGUUAACUGCUAUAUAUUCUUAGCAUCAUUUGUGAUGUUGAUUUGAAGAAAUUUUUGCAGAUGAGGUAUGUUUUCUGGCUUUAUGUAUUUGUCAAGUUAAAUACAAACUUUGUCCCUCAAAAAUAAUAAAAUUUAAUAGAGUAAAAGGGAAAAUUAUAUUUGCAAUAUUCUAUAGUUUUUAAUACCUUAGUGACAUUAUUUCUCUUUAAAAGAUUUGCUUAGGAGUUCCCAUGGUGGCUCAGUGGUUAACAAACCUGACUGGCAACCAUGAGGAUGUGGGUUCAAUCCCUGGCCUCUAUCAGUGAGCUAAGGAUCACCAGAUGCUGUGAGCUGUGGUGUAGGUCGCAGACAUGGCUCGAAUCUGGCAUUGCGGUGACUGUGGUGUAGUCCAGUGGCUGCAGCUCCAAUUCAACCCGUAGCCUGAGAACCUCCAUAUGCCGCAGGUGCAGCCCUAAAAUGACCAAAAAAAAAAAAAAAAGAUUAAUUCUGUUCAAGUAUAGUGAAAAUAUGGAUAGUAGUGCUAGUCUCCUUAACAAUUUUUAGCACCUUUGUGAUUUCCUGCAUGUUGAGUAUCUGCUAUGAUUUUAGUCUAGAGUGAAUGGUGAUCAACCAUAAAGAAGCAAAAUAUGUAAUUUUUGGAAUCUCAAACUUUGAGUGUCUCACUAGCAGGGACACAUACUAGUGUGAGGAAUAUUCAGCAGUGUGAGGUUGCCCAUGUUUAGUGGUUACAAAGAAAAAGAGUAACAGUAUUACACUGUGGAUAGUAAAACACUGGUGUAUAGCCUUCAUUCCUCAGAUUAUUUAUCGAGCAUCUACUAAUUUCGAGCAGAACAUAAAGUAUAUUACAUAAUAGGCACUUAAUGUUUGUUGAACAUUGCUAAUAAAUAAGAUAGAUAACUGUGUCUGCCCCCAAAUCGCUCAUAGUUUCUUGGGAGAAAAGAGCCAUAGAAAUGAAUCAUUACAACUCAGUGGUGAAAGUGAUGAUUAGAGAUGUUAGAGUGCUAUGCAGGCUGAUCUGAGAAGGUAAAGAUGAAUAGAAUUGAACUAGAGGAGGAAGGGAUAGAGUGGGAUAUGGGAGGGGUUCUAGGCAAAGCAGGGUUAGUAGCAAUUAAUGGUAGUAUUUAGUACAGAAGUUCUCUAGGAUCUGCUUUAAAGAGUUCACCAACCCUAUGGAAUUGUAUGCAGUAUUUUGCUUUUCCAUGCCUUUCUUAGGAGGAGUCUAUAAUAACUUUCAUUAGAUUAAAAAAAAAAAAAAA
rnacentral:lncRNA from 1 species